ACCAUUCAAUGGUGUAGCCAAGGCCUUUGUGGAGAGGCCCUGGGGAAGAGAGGGCCCUUGUCAUCCAUUCAUCUUGCAGGAGGCUUGGCCCAUGCCAGACUCGCUGGACUCUCCUUCCUGGGAGGUGCCAGGCAACCCCCACCUCCCCUCGUGGCUGCUCCCCCACUUCUAUCAUUUCCUGGGGCCUCAGGGGUUUGGCUGUGAUCCCAGCCAAAAGAUGGUGGGGAGUCCCACCUCCCACACUUCCUCAUUCACACACUGGCACCAGACCUGUGGGAACGCCGGACAGCAGCUGGGCAUUGGUGCCCGGCUCUCCCCUCAGCCCACAGACCUUAGAGAAGGCACGAGGAACAGGGCCUUCCCCCCCUGCGCUGUCCUCAGCACUGAUUGUGAAUCUGGGUACAAACAAGGCCUGUAACCUGGAUAGUAACAGACCUUUCCCAGGAAACCUUCUGACAGGCAUAUAUUCUGGGUCACCUUAACCCUCCCCAUAAUUCUGCUCUGCUCGAAGCUCCAAGGACAAAAAAAAAAAAAAAAAAA
rnacentral:lncRNA from 1 species